GCAGCUGGAAUUGGAAUGAUGGUGACUUAAACCCUCACCAAAGUACCAAUUGGAGGGCAAGUCUGGUGCCAGCAGCCGCGGUAAUUCCAGCUCCAAUAGCGUAUAUUAAACUUGUUGCAGUUAAAAAGCUCGUAGUUGAAUUUCAUCGUUUCGCGUGUGCCUCUUUUGGCCCAUCUCGUCUCGCUUUUUUUAUUACUUUGAGAAAAUUAGAGUGUUUCAAGCAGGCUUUUGUCUUGAAUACUUGAGCAUGGAAUAAUAGAGUAGGACCUUGGUUCUAUUUUGUUGGUUUUGUUACCUUGGUAAUGGUUAAUAGGAACGGUUGGGGGCAUUCGUAUUUAACUGUCAGAGGUGAAAUUCUUAGA
rnacentral:rRNA from 1 species